GGAACAUCAACAGACCCAGAAUUCUAUUCAAAUAAACGUUUCUGUAAAAAUACUGGCCAAAUGAGUAAAUUUUGAUUCCUAUAAUGUGAAGUGCACCUACUGCUACUUCUGGACCACUCUUUAUUGUUAAUAUAUCUCUCCAAUAAAAUACAUAUCACUGCUCAGGAUCUCUCCUUUUCCAAGUCAACAAGAUAACACUUACCAAUAAAUAACUUUACUCGCUUCUCCGAGUAAAUUAACAUCUAAGUACAGAAAAUAACCUGAGUUUACUCGAACAAUUCAAUCAGAUAUCCUCAUUUCCACACCAAGAAUGUCUUUUACAACCUCAUAUGAAACAAAUGCAAUUGCUAUAGACGGGACCACCUUGACUGAAUUUGGGACCAAACCCUUAUAUAAAGCUCCAACUCCCUCAUGACGAACUGUUUUCCUGAAUGCAUCUACCAUACCACUAUACUCUACAGGUGCGUUGGUCUUCCCAUCACCAAUAACAACUGAAGCAGCAUUUUUCCAGCCACCCAUCUGCAUUCUUCGACGAAUGACAUCAAGAGGGUAAGCAACUGUUUGUCCAAUGGUUCCAGCAACAGCACCGCAACCAAGCUUGGUCAUAACACUCAAUUCAGUGUCUUGAGCUAGUCCAAAUGGUCGAGUUUUGACCAACCAAUCUUUUAAAGAUUCAUAUACAGCA
rnacentral:misc_RNA from 1 species